rnacentral:rRNA from 1 species
AACGCUGGCGGCGUGCCUAACACAUGCAAGUCGAGCGGAGCCAUCCAAACAAUCCCGUUCGGGGUGCGUUUGGGGGAAGCUUAGCGGCGGACGGGUGAGUAACGCGUGAGUAACCUGCCCAUUAGUGGGGAAUAACACAGAGAAAUUUGUGCUAAUACCGCAUACUGAAUAUUUAAGGCAUCUUGAAUAUUUGAAAGAUUUAUCGCUAAUGGAUGGACUCGCGUCUGAUUAGAUAGUUGGUGAGGUAACGGCUCACCAAGUCGACGAUCAGUAGCCGACCUGAGAGGGUGAUCGGCCACAUUGGGACUGAGACACGGCCCAGACUCCUACGGGAGGCAGCAGGUGGGGAAUAUUGCACAAUGGGGGAAACCCUGAUGCAGCGACGCCGCGUGAGUGAAGAAGUAUUUCGGUAUGUAAAGCUCUAUCAGCAGGGAAGAAAAUGACGGUACCUGACUAAGAAGCACCGGCUAAAUACGUG